rnacentral:rRNA from 1 species
UAAAGAAUUAUCGCUGAUAGAUGGGCAUGCGUUCCAUUAGAUAGUUGGUGAGGUAACGGCUCACCAAGUCCACGAUGGAUAGGGGUUCUGAGAGGAAGGUCCCCCACACUGGUACUGAGACACGGACCAGACUCCUACGGGAGGCAGCAGUGAGGAAUAUUGGUCAAUGGGCGAGAGCCCGAACCAGCCAAGUCGCGUGAAGGAUGAAGGAUCUAUGGUUUGUAAACUUCUUUUAUAUGGGAAUAAAGUGAGGAACGUGUUCCUUUUUGUAUGUACCAUAUGAAUAAGCAUCGGCUAACUCCGUGCCAGCAGCCGCGGUAAUACGGAGGAUGCGAGCGUUAUCCGGAUUUAUUGGGUUUAAAGGGUGCGUAGGUGGUUAAUUAAGUCAGCGGUGAAAGUUUGUGGCUCAACCAUAAAAUUGCCGUUGAAACUGGUUGACUUGAGUAUAUUUGAGGUAGGCGGAAUGCGUGGUGUAGCGGUGAAAUGCAUAGAUAUCACGCAGAACUCCGAUUGCGAAGGCAGCUUACUAAACUAUAACUGACACUGAAGCACGAAAGCGUGGGGAUCAAACAGGAUUAGAUACCCUGGUAGUCCACGCAGUAAACGAUGAUUACUAGCUGUUUGCGAUACACAGUAA